GACGAACGCUGGCGGCGUGCUUAACACAUGCAAGUCGAACGGAAAGGCCCUGCUUUUGUGGGGUGCUCGAGUGGCGAACGGGUGAGUAACACGUGAGUAACCUGCCCUUGACUUUGGGAUAACUUCGGGAAACUGGGGCUAAUACCGGAUAGGAGCUCCUGCUGCAUGGUGGGGGUUGGAAAGUUUCGGCGGUUGGGGAUGGACUCGCGGCUUAUCAGCUUGUUGGUGGGGUAGUGGCUUACCAAGGCUUUGACGGGUAGCCGGCCUGAGAGGGUGACCGGCCACAUUGGGACUGAGAUACGGCCCAGACUCCUACGGGAGGCAGCAGUGGGGAAUAUUGCACAAUGGGCGGAAGCCUGAUGCAGCAACGCCGCGUGCGGGAUGACGGCCUUCGGGUUGUAAACCGCUUUCGCCUGUGACGAAGCGUGAGUGACGGUAAUGGGUAAAGAAGCACCGGCUAACUACGUGCCAGCAGCCGCGGUGAUACGUAGGGUGCGAGCGUUGUCCGGAUUUAUUGGGCGUAAAGGGCUCGUAGGUGGUUGAUCGCGUCGGAAGUGUAAUCUUGGGGCUUAACCCUGAGCGUGCUUUCGAUACGGGUUGACUUGAGGAAGGUAGGGGAGAAUGGAAUUCCUGGUGGAGCGGUGGAAUGCGCAGAUAUCAGGAGGAACACCAGUGGCGAAGGCGGUUCUCUGGGCCUUUCCUGACGCUGAGGAGCGAAAGCGUGGGGAGCGAACAGGCUUAGAUACCCUGGUAGUCCACGCUGUAAACGGUGGGUACUAGGUGUGGGGUCCAUUCCACGGGUUCCGUGCCGUAGCUAACGCUUUAAGUACCCCGCCUGGGGAGUACGGCCGCAAGGCUAAAACUCAAAGGAAUUGACGGGGCCCCGCACAAGCGGCGGAGCAUGCGGAUUAAUUCGAUGCAACGCGUAGAACCUUACCUGGGUUUGACAUGGAUCGGGAGUGCUCAGAGAUGGGUGUGCCUCUUUUGGGGUCGGUUCACAGGUGGUGCAUGGCUGUCGUCAGCUCGUGUCGUGAGAUGUUGGGUUAAGUCCCGCAACGAGCGCAACCCUUGUUCACUGUUGCCAGCACGUUAUGGUGGGGACUCAGUGGAGACCGCCGGGGUCAACUCGGAGGAAGGUGGGGAUGACGUCAAGUCAUCAUGCCCCUUAUGUCCAGGGCUUCACGCAUGCUACAAUGGCUGGUACAGAGAGUGGCGAGCCUGUGAGGGUGAGCGAAUCUCGGAAAGCCGGUCUCAGUUCGGAUUGGGGUCUGCAACUCGACCUCAUGAAGUCGGAGCCGCUAGUAAUCGCAGAUCAGCAACGCUGCGGUGAAUACGUUCCCGGGGCU
rnacentral:rRNA from 1 species